GGGCGGCUAGCUCAGUUUGGUUAGAGCACCAGCUCGACACGCUGGGGGUCGCAGGUUCGAAUCCCGCGCCGCCCAACA
rnacentral:tRNA from 1 species